rnacentral:lncRNA from 1 species
CCCCACCCGCCACCCGCACUCGGCUCCGCAGCCGGCCGGAGCGAGCUCCGCGCGUCCGGGCGGGAGCCGAGGGCUCCCCGGGUUCAAAGGGCCGCAGCCCCGAGGGAAUGCCCUCCUCGCUGUGCCCCAGGGGGCAGAAGCCGACUGCUGGGCGGUGGGACCGGCCUGGGCCACGGAUACAAAGCACAAUGUCUUCAUGAGCAUCCACGACUGCUAAGCCAAGUUCCUUCAGGGCAGGCAGGUGCUGGAACUUGAACAAGAGUCUCAGUCCCAUUUACCGGCAAAUUUUGACAGUGACUUGGAAGAAAUCAUUGAUGUUUAGCAACCAUUGGAAAAUCAUAAACCUAGAGGAACAGUAGAUGGUAAAAUUUGGAACUAAAGACAGCUUCAAAGUCUAAAGCAAAAA